GAUGAACGCUGGCGGCGUGCCUAAUACAUGCAAGUCGAGCGAACAGACGAGGAGCUUGCUCCUCUGACGUUAGCGGCGGACGGGUGAGUAACACGUGGAUAACCUACCUAUAAGACUGGGAUAACUUCGGGAAACCGGAGCUAAUACCGGAUAAUAUAUUGAACCGCAUGGUUCAAUAGUGAAAGACGGUUUUGCUGUCACUUAUAGAUGGAUCCGCGCCGCAUUAGCUAGUUGGUAAGGUAACGGCUUACCAAGGCAACGAUGCGUAGCCGACCUGAGAGGGUGAUCGGCCACACUGGAACUGAGACACGGUCCAGACUCCUACGGGAGGCAGCAGUAGGGAAUCUUCCGCAAUGGGCGAAAGCUUGACGGAGCAACGCCGCGUGAGUGAUGAAGGUCUUCGGAUCGUAAAACUCUGUUAUUAGGGAAGAACAAAUGUGUAAGUAACUAUGCACGUCUUGACGGUACCUAAUCAGAAAACCACGGCUACUACGUG
rnacentral:rRNA from 1 species